CUCUAUUUGGAAUCAAUCCACUUUUUUCUCAACCUAAUUCACGUUUCCCUAUUCCACAUUCCAAAAUCAACAAUCAAACGCACACUCCAGCUCCUACAAUCGACUCCUUCUCCGCUUCCAUUUUUCUCCGAUCGGCCUCAACUACAACUCUACAAAUCGAACCUUCAAUCCGGUGUUGCCUCCACCUUAAUCUUCGUCCGGUUCUGUCGCAGCUGGAUCCGCUCUGCGUCCGCCUCCGAUGCUAAUCGCUACGCCAAUGGUUCACCUACGUUGCUGCUGUCUCGGUCCGUCGUCACUUCUUCCUCCGGCUUCUUCCUUGGUUAACUCUCACUCAACUUACACCAGAUUGAUGAAAUGUUUAAAGGAAAAUCAUCAAUUAUAAAUUACUUAGGUAUCCAAACAUCAUUAGAGUCGAGGAGGCAACAGACUUCUUUUAUGAUACAGCAACCAUCAGAGUAAGAAGCUUGCAAGGAAAUGAUUUGAAGACUAACAUGAUUAUAUCACAUAUCCAACCUUUUUGAGAUGGGAAUGUUGUAAAGCACAAAACUAGAACUUAUCAUUGGUAAAACGUUGUGUGAAUGUAAAAAAGAAUUGUCCUUACAUUUUUCAUUGCAGCUCUUAAUGACCUACUUACAUGCAACACGAAAGAAGGAUAAAAACCGAGAAACUUCACUCAAAUUGAACACAAGUUAAAAAAACUUAGAGAAGAAGAUUGUGAAUUUAUCCCAACACAACAUCUAUAAUGUUGUUCCCGCUCCUUAUUUUCUUAAUACCAUCCAUAAAGUAAUAAAGUGGCGGGGCGGGGUUUAUCAGGAUCAAAAGCCUUUGCAAAACAAAAUUUAGAAUUAAAGUGAAUGAAUUGAGGCACAUAAGGGAGAUGGUUUUCUCUAGUAGAUUAUGGAGUAGAAGAGAAAAGAGGAAAAAUACUCAUGGAAGCUUUUGAAGAGAUUGCGUUCGUGGUCUCGAUAGAGGAAAAGAGGGUCUAAGUUCACCUCCAAACAGGAAAUCGACGAGUAUUCCUUCAGCCGAUUUAGGGCUGGAAACGAUGUCGGAGGUGGGUAGCUAAAGGGGGAGGAGACUGAGUGUGGAUCGACGGUGAUGUGAAGAAAUGGGGAAGUGAGGUGGUUUUAGGGAAUUUUAAUCAGAAGAUAGAAAGAAAAGCGGUGGACAACAAUCCAAUCCCUAUUGGCUUAGAUCAACUCCAACCACAAAACACUAAAAAAUACUAAAAUUGUGACUUUGUAACACUAAAAUGCAGUUUUCACUUCAACCAUACACAAAAAUUUUACAUUAAAAGUAAUAUAUAAAAUAAAAUAAUAAUUAUAAUGGUGUUAAAAAUAGUAAAUAUAAUAAAAUAAUGGAGUUAUAUUGAAAAAGUACAUUUGGUGUUGGGAGAUAGACACACCAAAUAUGGAGGCCACCAAGAGGUUUCACAAAAAUGGUGAUGAUUUUGAAGGUCCAUUAGAAUGGUUUUUAAAAGAUUUGCACCAUUUUAGUGGUCCAUUGGAGUUGCUCUUAGACAGUAGGUUAUGGGGACAUCGGCAACCAUUAAGUGCCAUUGGUAGCUGGAGUCAAUAGAAAUGAGGUUUGCCUCAUAGUUUUUAAAAAGGAAUAAAAAAUAGACCAAUGAACAACAAGAAAGAGGUGUGUAUGAGGCGGUUAGGUUCGGUUAUUGGUCAAAACCGAACCAUAACCAUUACAAUUGGUUAGUGUAUUUUGGUAACCAUUAGGUAGCGGUUAAUAUUGGUUUUGGUUAACGGUUUUAAUCGGUUGAUGGUUAAUAUCGAUUAACCAAAAUGGUCAAUGAUGACAUAAAAAUAAAAAUAAUUUUCUAUUAAAAUUAAAAAACAUAAAGUUCUAUCAUUAUAAAAAAUAAAUGAUUGUGUAUAUAUAAUUGUAUUGAUAUCUAACUCAACUAAUUACCCUUUAAAAUUUCAAGUCCUAAUAUAAUUACAUACCAUAUAUUUAAUAUUAUAUUAUAUUAAAAAUAUUUAUUAAUAUUAUUGGUUCGGUUCGGUUUAUAAUGGUUCAGUUUUAAAUAAAAACCAUAAUUGAACCAUAUGUAUUAAGUUAAUCAAAAUUGGAAACCGAACCAUAUCUUUUAGUAAUGGUUUAGUUAAAAUGGUUCGGUUAUAUGAAUUAAUUUGGUUAUAAUUCAGUUUUUCGGUUAAUAUGUUCACCCCUAGCAAGAAGUUUUCAUAAGAUAACACACAAUUUGUAUAUAUAAAGAACUAGUUUAUAACCCGUGGGAACCACGGUUACAAAAUUAAUUUAACUUUUAUAGUAAAAGUUCAAAGUUAUUAAUCAAUUAUUUUAAAUAAAUUAUUAAUUAUGUGAAAUUAUAAAAUUAUAAUAAUUGAUUUAAAUAAAUAUGUGAAAUUAUAUCACUUUAUAGUUUGUAUUAAUUUUAUUUUAAUUUUUAUUUUAAUUCUAUUAAUUUAAUGUAGAUAGAAUGGAAAAUUUAAAAUUUGAAAUUUAAAAUGAAUAAUCAAUAGGUUGACAAGUGACAAAUAUUAAUUAUGAGAGAUAAUAUAGUGACACAUGACAAAAGAAGAAUAAAAUAUGCAUUAAUUAAGAGUUCUAGUAAAAUGACACAUAUCAAAAGGAGAAUAAAACUAUUCUUUUAUUACAAUAGGAAGAUUUUAGAAUUGUAAAAUUUAUAAUGAAUUAAUUUUUAAAUUUUAGUAACCGUAUAUAUUAAUUUUAAAACUAUUAUAACAGUAAAGAUUAUAAUAUUGAUAAAUAUAUAGUAUAUAAAUAAAUAUUAAAUGUUCACAAAAUUUAUUUUUCUUUCUUUAAAAAAUGGCGAUAAACUCCCCAGACAGUUAAAUUUUGGUGUUUCCCAAUUCCCACUUUUCCUCCACCCCCAAGUUGACUCCGCAAAAUCCCUAGGUCUCCGUUUCCAAAAUCCACAGAUCAUGCACAAUCGAAGUCGAAUGUGGACCAUCAUCCCGCCCCUUUGGCCUCCGUUUCUCUUACUAGGCCCGCCGUCGAGCUUGUAGUCCAUAAUCAUUGUCUCUCUACUCAGUCUCAGUCAAGCUUCUAGUUCAUCCCCUUUUUCCUCCGUUUAUCUGCUUUCUGUGACUCUCUCUCAGCCUUCUCUUUUCUACUCCACUCCGGCGGCGAACUACUGGUAACCCACUACGAUUCAGACACCCUUCUUCGUAUUUUCUAUCCAGAGGUAAAUGGCUCGAAACAAGGUACUUCAGUUUUCAAAUGAAAGAGCUCGGGACGAUCGCAACGCGUGCACCCGUGUUUUCUGCAAUAUGUGAUUUUUGGGAAUGAACUCUGAUAAUUGUUUUAUUUGAAAUGCUUUUCAAUGUUUGGACAAAUAUAAAAUAGAGUUUUGAUUAUAAUAAAAAUGAACUUUUUAUCCUUGA